rnacentral:rRNA from 1 species
UCUUGGUUCAAUUUAGAGGAAGUAAAAGUCGUAACAAGGUUUCCGUAGGUGAACCUGCGGAAGGAUCAUUACUGAGUGAGGGCCCUCUGGGUCCAACCUCCCACCCGUGUUUAUUUACCUUGUUGCUUCGGCGGGCCCGCCUUAACUGGCCGCCGGGGGGCUUACGCCCCCGGGCCCGCGCCCGCCGAAGACACCCUCGAACUCUGUCUGAAGAUUGAAGUCUGAGUGAAAAUAUAAAUUAUUUAAAACUUUCAACAACGGAUCUCUUGGUUCCGGCAUCGAUGAAGAACGCAGCGAAAUGCGAUACGUAAUGUGAAUUGCAAAUUCAGUGAAUCAUCGAGUCUUUGAACGCACAUUGCGCCCCCUGGUAUUCCGGGGGGCAUGCCUGUCCGAGCGUCAUUGCUGCCCUCAAGCCCGGCUUGUGUGUUGGGCCCCGUCCUCCGAUUCCGGGGGACGGGCCCGAAAGGCAGCGGCGGCACCGCGUCCGGUCCUCGAGCGUAUGGGGCUUUGUCACCCGCUCUGUAGGCCCGGCCGGCGCUUGCCGAUCAACCCAAAUUUUUAUCCAGGUGACCCUUCGG